UGAGGAAUUUUGCGCAAUGGGGGCAACCCUGACGCAGCAACGCCGCGUGAGUGAAGAAGGCCUUUGGGUCGUAAAGCUCUGUCAACAGGGAAGAAGUUACAAUUGUUUAAUAGAUGGUUGUAUUGACGGUACCUGUGGAGGAAGCGCCGGCUAACUCCGUGCCAGCAGCCGCGGUAAUACGGGGGGCGCAAGCGUUAUUCGGAAUUAUUGGGCGUAAAGGGCGCGCAGGCGGUCUUGUCCGUCAGGUGUGAAAGCUCGGGGCUCAACCCCGGAAGUGCACUUGAAACAGCAAGACUUGAAUACGGGAGAGGAAAGCGGAAUUCCUGGUGUAGAGGUGAAAUUCGUAGAUAUCAGGAGGAACACCGAUGGCGAAGGCAGCUUUCUGGACCGAUAUUGACGCUGAGGCGCGAAGGCGUGGGUAGCAAACGGGAUUAGAUACCCCGGUAGUCCACGCAGUAAACGUUGUACACUCGGUGUAGCGGGUAUUAAAACCUGCUGUGCCCAAGCUAACGCAUUAAGUGUACCGCCUGGGAAGUACGGUCGCAAGACUAAAACUCAAAGGAAUUGACGG
rnacentral:rRNA from 1 species